AGUCGCAAUUACAGGGGGCACCCCCGUUGGGGAAGGCGUUCUUCUGGGAAAGACCUCACCGGAGGAGGGAAAAGUGUGGGGACGCACACAGGAUUAGAUACCUUCGUAGUCCCCACCGUAAAAGUUGGGCGCUUAGGUGUGGGUUCCAUUCCCGGGAUUCCGUCCCGCAGGUACCGCAUUAAGCGCCCCGCCUGGGGAGUACGCCCGCAAGGCUAAACUUCAAAGGAAUUGACGGGGGCCCGCACAAGCGGCGGAGCAUGCGGAUUAAUUCGAUGCAACGCGAAGAACCUUACCUGGGUUUGACAUACACCCUGCCGCUCCAGAGAUGGGGCUUCUUUUGGGGGUGUACAGGUGGUGCAUGGCUGUCGUCAGCUCGUGUCGUGAGAUGUUGGGUUAAGUCCCGCAACGAGCGCAACCCUCGUUUUACGUUGCCAGCACGUAAUGGUGAGGACUCAUAGGAGACUGCCGGGGUCAACUCGGAGGAAGGUGGGGAUGACGUCAAAUCAUCAUGCCCCUUAUGUCUUGGGCUUCACGCAUGCUACAAUGGCCGGUACAAAGGGCUGCGAAACCGCGAGGUGGAGCGAAUCCCAAAAAACCGGUCUCAGUUCGGAUUGGGGUCUGCAACUCGACCCCAUGAAGUCGGAGUCGCUAGUAAUCGCAGAUCAGCAACGCUGCGGUGAAUACGUUCCCGGGCCUUGUACACACCGCCCGUCAAGUCACGAAAGUCGGUAACACCCGAAGCCGGUGGCCCAACCCUUGUGGGGGGAGCCGUCGAAGGUGGGACUGGCGAUUGGGACUAAGUCGUAACAAGGUAAAUGCGCAAA
rnacentral:rRNA from 1 species